AUUUUGUGUGCCCCGUUUCUUGUCCAUACCCUCCUUGUCCAGCAUCUUUCCAACAUGAGAACUUUGGAUGCCUAUCAACUCUUCCCCACUUCUAACUUUCCAUGAUGCCUUGUUCCCCAUUACCACCGGUUCCUUUUUCCUUCAAAAAGUAAUGAACAACCUUCUUUCUCCUCUUAAUCAUACUUCUUGUUGUGAUGUUAGCAAGGUUGGGAACAUAAGAGAAAUUGAAGGAGCUUCAAGGUUGGCCAACUUCACCAAGUAAAUGCCCAUUUGAUCUCUUCAAAAUGUUGAUUCUAGUGUUUGAAAUCGAUGUGAAGUGGUUGUUGGGGAGAUAUCCAAAUCAAGAGUGGUAGAUCGGUGGGAAUCUUGUAAGACUGCCUGUAGAUGUUGUCUUAUCCUGUUGUAAAUUUUGAGUUCUUGUUAUUUUCUACCCCUGUAUUCCUGUACUUUGUAUUUUUGGACUUCCGUAUCCUGGUAUUGUGUAUUUUGUAGAGUUUGUAAUCUUAUAACUCAGUUGGGUUAUUAUAAUUUUAUCUGUCA